AGCUGGAAGGAAAAAAAACGACAACGUCGAAGAGCGACCGGCACGUGAACGCGCGGCGCAAGAGAAGAAAAUAAAAG
rnacentral:lncRNA from 1 species